rnacentral:rRNA from 1 species
CCUACGGGAGGCAGCAGUAGGGAAUCUUCUACAAUGGACGAAAGUCUGAUGGAGCAACGCCGCGUGAGUGAUGAAGGGUUUCGGCUCGUAAAACUCUGUUGUUGGAGAAGAACAGGUGAUAGAGUAACUGUUAUCAUCUUGACGGUAUCCAACCAGAAAGCCACGGAUAACUACGUGCCAGCAGCCGCGGUAA